rnacentral:rRNA from 1 species
GACGAACGCUGGCGGCGUGCUUAACACAUGCAAGUCGAACGGAAAGGCCCUGCUUUUGUUGGGUGCUCGAGUGGCGAACGGGUGAGUAACACGUGAGUAACCUGCCCUUGUCUUUGGGAUAACUUCAGGAAACUGGGGCUCAUACCGGAUAUGAGCUCCUGCUGCGUGGUGGGCGUUGGAAAGUGUCGGCGGUUGGGGAUGUACUCGAUGCUUAUCGGCUUGUUGGGGUGGUAGUGGUUGACCAAGGGUUUGACGGGUAGCCGGCCUUGGAGGGGAGCCGGCGACAAUGGGCCUGAGAGACGCACCAGAAGCGAACGGGAGGCAGCAGUGGGGAACAUUGCAGAAUGGGGCGAAGCCAGUUGCAGAAAUGUUGCGUGCGGGAUGACGGGCUACGGGUUGUAAACCGCUUUCGCCUGUGACGAAGAGUGAGUGACGGUAAUGGGUAAAGAAGCACCGGCUAACUACGUG